AUUGAACGCUGGCGGCAUGCUUUACACAUGCAAGUCGAACGGUAACAGGCCGCAAGGUGCUGACGAGUGGCGAACGGGUGAGUAAUGCAUCGGAACGUGCCCAGUCGUGGGGGAUAACGCAGCGAAAGCUGCGCUAAUACCGCAUACGAUCUAGGGAUGAAAGCGGGGGACCGUAAGUCCUCGCGCGAUUGGAGCGGCCGAUGUCAGAUUAGGUAGUUGGUGGGGUAAAGGCUCACCAAGCCAACGAUCUGUAGCUGGUCUGAGAGGACGACCAGCCACACUGGGACUGAGACACGGCCCAGACUCCUACGGGAGGCAGCAGUGGGGAAUUUUGGACAAUGGGCGCAAGCCUGAUCCAGCAAUGCCGCGUGCAGGAAGAAGGCCUUCGGGUUGUAAACUGCUUUUGUACGGAACGAAACGGCUCUGGUUAAUACCUGGGGCUAAUGACGGUACCGUAAGAAUAAGCACCGGCUAACUACGUGCCAGCCGCCGCGGUAAUAC
rnacentral:rRNA from 1 species